rnacentral:rRNA from 1 species
GUUUGAUCCUGGCUCAGAGCGAACGUUAGCGGCGGGGCUUAACACAUGCAAGUCGAGCGAGAAAGGGGCUUCGGCCCUGAGUACAGCGGCGGACGGGUGAAUAACACGUAGGUAACCUUCCUUUCAGCGGGGGACAACGGUCCGAAAGGACCGCUAAUACCGCAUACGUUCCCUGGGACCUCGGUCCUGGGGAGGAAAGGCCCGCAAGGGCCACUGGAUGAGGGGCCUGCGUAGCAUCAGCUAGUUGGUGGGGUAAUGGCCUACCAAGGCGAAGACGCUUAGCUGGUCUGAGAGGAUGAUCAGCCACACUGGGACUGAGACACGGCCCAGACUCCUACGGGAGGCAGCAGUGGGGAAUAUUGGACAAUGGGCGCAAGCCUGAUCCAGCCACGUCCGCGUGAGUGAUGAAGGCCUCGGUCGGUAAGUACUCUGUUGGGGAGGGGACGGAACGGGACGG